UAUGUGAUCGUCUCUCGCAUAUCAAUAAGCGGAGGAAAAGAAACUAACAAGGAUUCCCCUAGUAACGGCGAGUGAAGCGGGAAGAGCUCAAAUUUGAAAUCUUAAAGGGUUUCCCUUUACGAAUUGUAGUUUAAAGAAGUGUUUUCUGUUGAGGUUUUGGUAAAAGUUCUUUGGAAUAGGACAUCAUAGAGGGUGAGAAUCCCGUAUUUGACCUUUACUUUCAACUUUGUGAUACACUUUCAAAGAGUCGGAUUGUUUGGGAAUGCAGUCCAAAAUGGGUGGUAAAUUUCAUCUAAAGCUAAAUAUUGGCGAGAGACCGAUAGCGAACAAGUACCGUGAGGGAAAGAUGAAAAGAACUUUGAAAAGAGAGUUAAACAGUACGUGAAAUUGUCAAAAGGGAAGCGUUUGACACCAGUGUUGUUUUUUCUGAAAAUCAAUUAAAGAACUGUUUAUGCUAAGCUGUUUAGACUUUAUCAGCUAUCUGUUUAGUUUUGAGCUUUUCUUUAAUGCACUUUUCAGUUAACAAGUCAACAUCAAUUUCUUUUGCUGUAAAAAAGCUUGAGGAAGGUGGCUUGAGAUUCGUCUUAAGUGUUUAUAGCCUCUUGCCUAUGCAGUCGGAGAGAUUGAGGUCUGCAGCGUAGAUCCUUCGGGACUAAAUGCAUUUGUGCUAAGUUAUAGCAUUUUAUAGACAACUUGUUGACUAUGAUUUGUCUUGUAGCUUACUCGCUUAUGUUAUUUUACCUACGCUUAGGAUGUUGACGCGCGUGUGUGCGUG
rnacentral:rRNA from 1 species